rnacentral:rRNA from 1 species
UACGUAGGGUGCGAGCGUUAAUCGGAAUUACUGGGCGUAAAGGGCGCGUAGGCGGCCUACUAAGUCGGACGUGAAAUCCCUCGGCUCAACCGAGGAACUGCGUCCGAUACUGGCAGGCUGGAAUCCGGGAGAGGGAUGUGGAAUUCCAGGUGUAGCGGUGAAAUGCGUAGAUAUCUGGAGGAACACCGGUGGCGAAGGCGGCAUCCUGGACCGGUAUUGACGCUGAGGCGCGAAAGCUAGGGGAGCAAACGGG